rnacentral:rRNA from 1 species
CGAGGAGGUAGGGCUUACGCUCGCGUUUGUCUGUUAUAUCUUGGUGGACGAGUCGUCGCGGUUGGGACUGAGGUGCCUACAACGUGCUUUUGAGUGGGUUUGUGUCUCCGUGUGCGCCGUGUGCGGAUAGCUUGCUAUGUAUGUGCGGUUGUGUGUGGAUUGAUGCGGGCCUUAACUUGUCGCCGUUCGGGACGUUGACGAAAUGGAGCGAUCCGACCCGUCUUGAAACACGGACCAAGGAGUCUAACAUGUGUGCAAGUGUUAGGGUGUGGAAACCCCAGCGCGAAAUGAAAGUGAAGGGCAGCGCAAGUUGUCUGAGGUAGGAAACGUUGCGGGCUUCGGUCUGCGGCGUGGCACUAUCGACCGAUCAUGAACCUUCGUGGUGAAAGAUUUGAGUUUGAGCACAUAUGUUGGUACCCGAAAGAUGGUGAACUAUGCCUGAGUAGGGUGAAGCCAGGGGAAACUCUGGUGGAAGCUCGUAGCGAUUCUGACGUGCAAAUCGAUCGUCAAACUUGGGUAUAGGGGCGAAAGACUAAUCGAACCAUCUAGUAGCUGGUUCCCUCCGAAAUUUCCCUCAGGAUAGCAGCAACUUAUUUACGAUAGUUUUAUGAGGUAAAGCGAAUGAUUAGAGGAUUCGGGGAAGAAACUUCCUCGACCUAUUCUCAAACUUUAAAUCUGUAAGACCUGCAGGUUUCUUAAU